rnacentral:rRNA from 1 species
CGCCAGGGUACUACGAGCAUAGCUUAAAACCCAAAGGAUUUGGCGGUGUCUCAGACCCACCUAGAGGAGCCUGUUCUAGAACCGAUAAUCCCCGUUAAACCUCACCACUUCUUGUUAAUCCCGCCUAUAUACCGCCGUCGCCAGCUUACCCCAUGAGGGUUAAACAGUAAGCAAAAUGGACAAACCCCAGAACGUCAGGUCGAGGUGUAGCGCACGAAGUGGGAAGAAAUGGGCUACAUUUUCUAUAACAGAAAAUAACGAAUGGUCUACUGAAACACAUACCUGAAGGAGGAUUUAGCAGUAAAAAGCAAAUAGAGAGUCCUUUUGAAUCAGGCUCUGAGACACGC